rnacentral:lncRNA from 1 species
CUGUGGAAGCCAGCCUUUGGCUGCCGAACCCUGCCCCCGAAAGUGAACUUUCGGCUCUGGAAGGGAGUUUCGACCGCCGAAGGUGCCGCCGAACAUGCAUGAGUUUCGUCUCUGGAAGGAGCUUUCGGCCGCCGAAGGUGCCGACGAAAGUGACUGAGUUUCGGCUCUGAAGGGACUUUCGGCCACCGAACUUGCCGCCAAAAGUGCCAUGUUCAGCCUUCCUUUGCAUGUUUUCUAUGAUUUUUUUAAGGUGUCUUAGGGGGUUUUUGGGGAGUAUUUUGGAGUCAUGUUCAUGUAUGUUUGGUCCAUCAUUUG